GACGAACGCUGGCGGCGUGCCUAAUACAUGCAAGUCGAACGCUUUUUCUUUCACCGGAGCUUGCUCCACCGAAAGAAAAAGAGUGGCGAACGGGUGAGUAACACGUGGGUAACUUGCCCAUCAGAAGGGGAUAACACUUGGAAACAGGUGCUAAUACCGUAUAACACUAUUUUCUGCAUGGAAGAAAGUUGAAAGGAGCUUUUGCGUCACUGAUGGAUGGACCCGCGGUGCAUUAGCUAGUUGGUGAGGUAACGGCUCACCAAGGCAACGAUGCAUAGCCGACCUGAGAGGGUGAUCGGCCACACUGGGACUGAGACACGGCCCAGACUCCUACGGGAGGCAGCAGUAGGGAAUCUUCGGCAAUGGACGAAAGUCUGACCGAGCAACGCCGCGUGAGUGAAGAAGGUUUUCGGAUCGUAAAACUCUGUUGUUAGAGAAGAACAAGGAUGAGAGUAAAAUGUUCAUCCCUUGACGGUAUCUAACCAGAAAGCCACGGCUAACUACGUGCCAGCCGCCGCAGUAA
rnacentral:rRNA from 1 species